rnacentral:rRNA from 1 species
CAGUAGCCGCGGUAAGACAGAGGAUGCAAGCGUUAUCCGGAAUGAUUGGGUGUAAAGCGUCUGUAGGUGGCUUUUCAAGUCCGCCGUCAAAUCCCAGGGCUCAACCCUGGACAGGCGGUGGAAACUACCAAGCUGGAGUACGGCAGGGGCAGAGGGAAUUUCCAGUGGAGCGGUGAAAUGCGUUGAGAUCGGAAAGAACACCAACGGCGAAAGCACUCUGCUGGGCCGACACUGACACUGAGAGACGAAAGCUAGGGGAGCAAAUGGGAUUAGAUACCCCAGUAGUCCCUGUCUCUUAUAA